AAUGAACGUUGGCGGCAUGGAUUAGGCAUGCAAGUCGAGCGAGAAGAGUUUUGAAGCUUGCUUUAGAACUCGGACAGCGGCGAAAGGGAGAGUAACGCGUAGAUAUGUACCCUAGGGUCCGGAAGAGCCACGGGAAACUGUGGGUAAUGCCGGAUAACAUCCCCGGAACAAAGGUGUGAUUCCGCCCUAGGAGCAGACGGCGUCCUACUAGCUAGUUGGUGGGGUAAUGGCCCACCAAGGCAAUGAUGGGGAGCGGGUGUGAGAGCAUGGCCCGUCUCACUGGGACUGAGACACUGCCCAGACACCUACGGGUGGCUGCAGUCGAGAAUCGUCGGCAAUGGGCGAAAGCCUGACCGAGCGAUGCCGCGUGCGGGAUGAAGGCCCUCGGGUUGUAAACCGCUGUCGUAGGGGAGGAAGGUUCCGUGAAGAGCGGAAUUUGACCUAUCCUAGGAGGAAGUACGGGCUAAGUUCGUGCCAGCCGCCGCAGUAACAC
rnacentral:rRNA from 1 species